AGGAGAUUGCUAUUUUCUUCUGUUAACAUUGCUUGAGAAACUGUUUUCCACUCCCAUCUGGAGAACCAGAGGUACACCAAGGAGUGAUUCAGGGGACCACACAGAGAAGGAGAAGCCAAGUCUGGACAAGGAAUGAUCCCCUUCAGAUACAGUUUUAUUUCCUCCUUGACUCAAGAGACAACACCUGUGGCUCUGUGCAGGACCAGCAACAAAGGUGGGUCAGCAACGCCUGCUCCGGCUGCUGCACCAGUUGGGCCUUGGGCACCACAUGGAGAUGUCACUGUGGUGACAUGUGGGCACCAUGGUGACAUGUGGGCACCAUGGCGACGUUUGAGCCUCUCCCACAACAGUGUAAUUUAACUUGCUGACUGGCAAGACAAAGAGUGGCUUCUCACAGAAAGGGCUGAGAGUGAAAACUUGGUCAGACUGGGACAGGAGACCCUCAAUAUCAGCCAUCUGCAGCAGGAACCUCUUCUAUUUUGGAUCCAGAGGAACUGGCUGAGUUCUCAGGCUGCCCUUCUCCUGGUUGUCCUCAAGAUCGAGGAACAGCUUGGGAUGCUGCUCUAGCAUCAAUAAUGGGAGAAAAAGAUUCACAGACGUUUAUUGAUGAGCAGGAAACCAGAAGUUUGUCUCAUAUUUCUUUGGAGUAGAGUGCUGGCAAAGCCAGUAUCUUUGCAGCCUGCAGCUUUCCAGAGAAACUCUGGGUACUGGUUGAGAGUUACUUAUGACCAUUGAUGGGGUCACAGUGGAAGGAGAAAUUACCCACUGGAUCUGCUGACAGCACCUGACAGAUGGCCCUGGGCAGCCCCACACUGCUCAGCAUGCACCUGCAGUUCCUAUGGAGCAGCCCAGCACCAUUCCAUGUACACCUGCAGCUCUUGCAGGGCAGAUGCUGGUGAUGGGCCAGCACCAUAGCAUAGGACCCACUGCAGAUACAGCAGCACCUGGUUACAGCUUCCCAAGACUAUCAUUAUUAAACAUAAAUCUUCUGGUGAUGUAAACUGAACUCAGAAAUCACAGCAAAUUAUACAAGAUCGA